UACGGAGGGUGCAAGCGUUAUCCGGAUUCACUGGGUUUAAAGGGUGCGUAGGUGGGCAGGUAAGUCAGUGGUGAAAUCUCCGGGCUUAACCCGGAACUGCCGUUGAUACUAUCUGUCUUGAAUAUAGAGGAGGUGAGCGGAAUAUGUCAUGUAGCGGUGAAAUGCUUAGAUAUGACAUAGAACAUCGAUUGCGAAGGCAGCUCGCUACACAUAUAUUGACUCUGAGGCACGAAAGCGUGGGGAUCAAACAGGG
rnacentral:rRNA from 1 species